GACGAACGCUGGCGGCGUGCUUAACACAUGCAAGUCGAACGGAAAGGCCCUGCUUUUGUGGGGUGCUCGAGUGGCGAACGGGGGAGUAAAACGUGUGUAUCCCGCCCUUGUCAUUCGGGUAUCUCUAGGGAACUGGGGCGCAUACCGGAUAGGAGCUCCUGAUCCACGAGGGGGGUUGGAAAGUGUCGGCGUUUGGGGAUGGACUAGCGGCUUAUCAGCUGGUUGGGGGGGUAGUUGAUGUCAAGGGCUUCGACGGGUAGCCGGCCUGAGCGGGGGACCGGCCACAUUGGGACUGAGGUACGGCCCAGACUCCUACGGGAGGCAGCGGUGGGGAACAUUGCACAAUGGGCGGAAGCGUGAUGCAACAACGCCGCGUGCGGGAUGACGUCUUUCGGGUUAUAAACCGCUUUCGCCUGUGACGAAGCGUGAUUGACGGUAAUGGGUAAAGAAGCACCGGCUAACUACGUG
rnacentral:rRNA from 1 species